AAAAGAAUCCUUAUGGCAGCAUGGCUGGUCAUGGUGAUCACCUGGAUAUGCACAAAAUGGCCAACAAGGAGAAUGGGUUCUGGGUUGGGUAUGUGUUCCAAGUAUAGCCAGAGAGAUUCUUGCCUGGGACUUUCGUGAGAGCUAUUGGGAAAAAGGGGUGUGUGUGUGUGUGUGUGUGUGUGUGUGUAUGUGUGUGUGUGUGUGUGUGUGUGUGUUUCUUUUGGUUUCUUUUGGAGCCACCAGUUGUGGGGACCAUCUAGGCCUGAAGCUACAGAUGAUUGCUUUGCCAUUCACAUGGAGACAGCCUACUUGAAAGUAAUGGCAAUAUAGAGGAAAGCAGAGCCAAGAAAUAGAGAAUGACACAUUCUUGAUAACGCUUCUCGCCGCCUGGAUCCAGCAUGCCUGAAGUCAGCAGUAAACUUGGAUGCUUCAGUUACAAGUGCUAAGUUCCCUUUCAUUCUUUUUUUU
rnacentral:lncRNA from 1 species